rnacentral:rRNA from 1 species
CGCGUAGGCGGUUUUUUAAGUUCAGAUGUGUAAUCCCCGAGCUCAACUUGGGAACUGCAUCUGAGACUGGAAGGCUAGAGUACUGGAGAGGGUGGUGGAAUUCCUCGUGUAGCGGUGAAAUGCGUAGAGAUGAGGAGGAACACCAGUGGCGAAGGCGGCCACCUGGACAGUAACUGACGCUGAGGCGCGAAAGUGUGGGUAGCAAACAGGAUUAGAUACCCUGGUAGUCCACGCUGUAAACGAUGAACACUUGGUGUGGAGGGAGUUGACCCCUUCCGUGCCGGAGCUAACGCGUUAAGUGUUCCGCCUGGGGAGUACGGUCGCAAGGCUGAA